GAUGAAGAACGCAGCGAAAUGCGAUACGUAAUGUGAAUUGCAAAUUCAGUGAAUCAUCGAGUCUUUGAACGCACAUUGCGCCCCCUGGUAUUCCGGGGGGCAUGCCUGUCCGAGCGUCAUUGCUGCCCUCAAGCACGGCUUGUGUGUUGGGCCCCGUCCUCCGAUCCCGGGGGACGGGCCCGAAAGGCAGCGGCGGCACCGCGUCCGGUCCUCGAGCGUAUGGGGCUUUGUCACCCGCUCUGUAGGCCCGGGCGGCGCUUGCCGAUCAACCCAAAUUUUUUAUCCAGGUUGACCUCGGAUCAGGUAGGGAUACCCGCUGAACUUAAGCAUAUCAAUAAGCGGAGGA
rnacentral:misc_RNA from 1 species